rnacentral:rRNA from 1 species
AUUGAACGCUGGCGGCAGGCUUAACACAUGCAAGUCGAGCGGAGAUGAGGUGCUUGCACCUUAUCUUAGCGGCGGACGGGUGAGUAAUGCAUAGGAAUCUGCCUAUUAGUGGGGGACAACAUUCCGAAAGGAAUGCUAAUACCGCAUACGUCCUACGGGAGAAAGCAGGGGAUCUUCGGACCUUGCGCUAAUAGAUGAGCCUAAGUCGGAUUAGCUAGUUGGUGGGGUAAAGGCCUACCAAGGCGACGAUCUGUAGCGGGUCUGAGAGGAUGAUCCGCCACACUGGGACUGAGACACGGCCCAGACUCCUACGGGAGGCAGCAGUGGGGAAUAUUGGACAAUGGGGGGAACCCUGAUCCAGCCAUGCCGCGUGUGUGAAGAAGGCCUUAUGGUUGUAAAGCACUUUAGGCGAGGAGGAGGCUACUGAGACUAAUACUCUUGGAUAGUGGACGUUACUCGCAGAAUAAGCACCGGCUAACUCUGUGCCAGCCGCCGCGGUAACAC